UAAUAAAUGCAAUGUAACAAUAAAUGUGCCAAAACACAACAUCCUCAACAAUAGUAAAUUAAGGUUCAAAACUUACUUGAAACCACAAACGGAUGAUCCGAAAAACACCACGAGUAACGUCCACCACACCAUGAAAACUUUGGAAGGAGUGCAACCCAUCACACAUGCACCAGCAACGCAACCAAAAAAGCUUUAGCAUGAAAAUGAGCACCGCAAACCAUCGUGAAAAUGGGCAUCGUAAGACCACUACAAAAAUGACCACUACAAAAAUGACCACCACGAAAAUGACCACCAUGAAAAUGGGCACCACAAGACCAACUAGAGACGGCAAAGACAAACCAUAACUUGACCUACCAAAGUGACAACUUCACCGGCCAUUGCGACGAAAAAGAUGACAAUAACCAACGACAACACAAGGGAACUUCUAUGAACUGAUAGAGCCUUAAAGAGCAUAAGAACGAAUGGAAGCCAAGCACAAAGAGAACCAGAAGGAAUGGAAGCAAAGUGUAGAGAGAAUGAGAAGCUCAAAGGUUUGUGAAAGUGAAGCGCAAAAGGAAGGAGGAGAUGAACAUUAAACAUUCUAUACUGGUUAUAGUGACUAACCGGUAUAGAAAGUGUUCUCCAAUAUUAUAGUUUUUCCACUGCGCCACUUUUUAUACCGAUUUUAGGUCUAAGCGGUGUAAAAAACUAAAUU
rnacentral:lncRNA from 1 species